rnacentral:rRNA from 2 species
AGCGAGAGAACUCUCGUUAAGGAACUCGGCAAAAUGACCCCGUAACUUCGGGAGAAGGGGUGCUCUUGCGGGUGCAAGCCUGCGAGAGCCGCAGUGAAUAGGCCCAGGCGACUGUUUAGCAAAAACACAGGUCUCUGCGAAGCCGCAAGGCGAAGUAUAGGGGCUGACACCUGCCCGGUGCUGGAAGGUUAAGAGGAGGGGUUAGCACGUUAGUGCGAAGCUCUGAAUUGAAGCCCCAGUAAACGGCGGCCGUAACUAUAACGGUCCUAAGGUAGCGAAAUUCCUUGUCGGGUAAGUUCCGACCCGCACGAAAGGUGUAACGAUCUGGGCACUGUCUCAACGAGAGACUCGGUGAAAUUAUAGUACCUGUGAAGAUGCAGGUUACCCGCGACAGGACGGAAAGACCCCGUGGAGCUUUACUGCAGCCUGAUAUUGAAUUUUGGUACAGCGUGUACAGGAUAGGUA